ensembl:misc_RNA Y_RNA Y RNA
GGCUGGUCCGAAGGUAGUGAGUUAUCUCAACUGAUUGUUCACGGUCAGUUACAGAUCGAACUCCUUGUUCUACUCUUUCCCCCCUUCUCACUACUGCACUUGACUAGUCUUUU